rnacentral:rRNA from 1 species
GACGAGGGAUCCUAGCGUUGUUCGGAAUCAUUGGGCGUAAAGCGGGUGUAGGCGGGCUUAUAAGUCAGGUGUGAAAUCCCAGGGCUCAACCCUGGAAGUGCAUUUGAUACUGUAAGUCUUGAAUGUGGUAGAGGUUACUGGAAUUCCUGGUGUAGUGGUGAAAUACGUAGAUAUCAGGAGGAAUACCGGAGGCGAAGGCGGGUAACUGGGCCAACAUUGACGCUGAGAUCCGAAAGCGUGGGGAUCAAACAGG